AGGGUUUCUUGAAGAAUUUAGGCUUGGGCUAAAUAUUCCGUGCAGCACCCCUGGUUUUUCAUCCUUACCACCCUACGUUUUUUUUUCUGUUUUUUUUCUUUCUGCUAUUAUUUUCUUUACCCAUUUGUUAUUUGAGUGAUUUUUUUUUAUAUUGUCUCAUAUAUUUUAUUAUGGUUUUUGUUUGCUUUGUUUUAUCUUUUUUUUCACCGUGCAUGUACUUUUUUACUUAUUUUAGACUUUUUAAUUUUUAUUUCAUUUUGAACAUUUACGUAACUAUUAUUUUCUCAUAAAAUUAGGAAAAUGGAUUUUUUAGAGUUAUUAGUAUUUAAUAUUGUUCUGCAUCUUUAUAACUAAAUAAAGUUUUCUUUAUUUUUU
rnacentral:lncRNA from 1 species